rnacentral:lncRNA from 1 species
ACCCAGCGAUCUGACAGCUCAGGGUCGAUUCCGCGUACGUGAAUGACUCAGAUUCAUUUCCUCCUUAGAUCGAUCAGACGGACGAGAUCAAUCGUAAUGGACAGUACAUAUUCGUCCACACAAUCGGUCUAAACAUAGAGCACUCUAUCGUGAAUGUUUUCUCAAUCGGAUAGGGUAGUGAAGUCACAUAUCGGAAAGGUUUAGGAGAUAAGAUUCACCAUCAUACUAGACGGGGUAUCGAGACGAUUGUAUUUUGACGUUCAUUAAUGGACAGGAUAUGGGGACGAUCGUUAAUUGAUAAAAUUGGAUAUUUGGUUCAUGCGUAAAGAAACAUCCCUAUGA